GGUACAGGACAGGACAAUUUUCCCAUGAUGCAUUGCUGGUUAGCCAAAGCAAAAACAACACACAGGAAUCCAAACAUGAAACGCUACACAGACUCAAUUGUGUUCCUCAGUAAUUGGUUUUGUAACAAUAAGCUUAACCAUUUUUAUUCAUCUAAAUUAGCGUUGCCUUGAGGUACGAGUGACCCGAGUUUUUCCAGAUGCAAGCUGCCAUCACCCUGAUUUUGUUUGCAUUGACUUGAUCAUGGGGGAGCUGGAGAUGAUCCUAGCUAAUGGGACCCUGGACCAGUUGCCAGCCAAUGGCUCCAAGAAGAUAUUCGCAGGUAAGAAGGCUUCGGAGUCUUUCAAAAUCCCAAAGCACAAAUGAUCAAAAACAAUGCAGACGUGAGAGCAAAUGUCCCAGCAUGCAUUGCGUUUCUCAAACAAGCCUCGCAGGACCUGGAGAAGCUGCAAAACAAGAACACCCAUUUCCUACGGUGUUGGCAGCACACACGGGGGGGAAAAAGAGGCCUCAGGCCAACAUGUGCGGGCAGGAAAGGGAAAUUGGGGUUGCCAGUUCCAUCCCCCAUCUGACAGGAUAUACCAAAACGUUUUGUUUUUUUAAUAAAAUUAAAUACACACUGGCUCGAUUUUAAUUUAGCACGAGCUAGGUGAUAAACCGCAUAGGCUACUAGUAAUGCUAAUUGUCAUCAGCUAUCAAAUACGCAGAGGUGCUUUGGGUUACGAGUGACUCCACCUACUCGUUUUUCCGGAAAAGAGGUGAGCCAUAUUUGCCAUGCGAGCCCGUGGGCAUUUUGACUUCAAAUCUAAUUGAUAGCAGAAGGUGUGAAAAUGAGCGUGAAGGUUUGUCCUGUGAUCGGCUGGCUACCGCUCCAGAAAGUAUUACUUUCAUAGAAUAGAAAAAAAGGAGUACUUUUUUUGGUUCUCUACUUCAAUAAACGUGAGUAAUCAGAUAAGAGCCCCUUAUACGCUUUGCCAUUUUUUUUCUCAAUUAGAAUAUAGUAAAAAAGUUGAUGUAUUUCACUUAUUCAAUUCAGAAAUGUUAAACUCAUUUAUUAUUUAGAUUUGAUUGAUCAUAAGCUAUACCUAUCAAAAUAAGUCAGCUUAAAAUUGUGAAAUAAUUCACUGUGUCUAGAGGGCCACUGCUGAAAUUCAACUGAAACAACAUAAAAUAUAACUUACCGAGAUGCACCAAAAUAAUAAAACAUCCUGAUAUCAAUUCAAACACGGAGGUGGUGUUUUCAGCCAAAUACUUUAGUAGAAACAAAUAAAAUGUCAACAUGUACAAGAGAUAAAUCUUUCGUGACAAAAGGAGAAGGCACAUUGAGAGGACACGUAAACAAUUUUGUCCGAGUGAGCUGCA